rnacentral:rRNA from 1 species
UUUUUGGGCCCAACCUCCCCCCGUGACUAUUGUACCUUGUUGCUUCGGCGGGCCCGCCAGCGUUUGCUGGCCGCCGGGGGGCGACUCGCCCCCGGGCCCGUGCCCGCCGGAGACCCCAACAUGAACCCUGUUCUGAAAGCUUGCAGUCUGAGUGUGAUUCUUUGCAAUCAGUUAAAACUUUCAACAAUGGAUCUCUUGGUUCCGGCAUCGAUGAAGAACGCAGCGAAAUGCGAUAACUAAUGUGAAUUGCAGAAUUCAGUAAUCAUCGAGUCUUUGAACGCACAUUGCGCCCCCUGGUAUUCCGGGGGGCAUCCUGUCCGAGCGUCAUUGCUGCCCUCAAGCCCGGCUUGUGUGUUGGGCCCUCGUCCCCCGGCUCCCGGGGGACGGGCCCUAAAGGCAACGGCGGCACCGCGUCCGGUCCUCGAGCGUAUGGGGCUUCGUCUUCCGCUCCAUACGCCCGGCCGGCGCCCGCCGACGCAUUUAUUUGCAACUUGUAUUUUUCCAGUUGACCUCAAAUCAUGUAUGGAUACCCGCUAAAAUAUACAUAUCUUAAGCGGAGG